rnacentral:rRNA from 1 species
GGUUACACUUAUAAUGCAAUAAAAAAUGUUCGGUAAUUAAUUAAUAAUUUUUUUGAAUAGGUUUUUAGUUUUAUUGGGUGAAAUUUUUAAAAUUAAAGGGUAUUUUUGGUUAUUAUAUGAGGUUAAUAAGUUUGGGUAUUAGACUAGGAUUAGAUACCCUAUUAUUCUAAAUUAAAUUUUAUUUACUUGGUUAGUAGUAGUUAUGGUCUUGAAAAUUAAAGAAGUUGGCGGUAUUUUAGUCUAUUCAGAGGAAUCUGCCCUAUAAUCGAUGGUCCACGAUUUUUUUUACUUGUUUUAAUUAGUUUGCAUAUCGCCGUGGGUUGAAUAUUUUUGAAAAAAUUUAAUGUUCAAUAAUUUUUAUAAGAAAAAAAUUCAGGUCAAGAUGUAGUUUAUAGACAAGAAGAGGUGGGUUACAAUGAGUUUACUUAUACGAAUUAAUAAAUGAAAUUUUAUUAUGAAGAUGGAUUUGAUGGUAAUUUUAUUAAAAUUAAUAGAAUGAUUUAAGCUCUAAAAUAUGUACAUAUCG